UACGUAGGGUGCGAGCGUUGUCCGGAAUUAUUGGGCGUAAAGAGCUCGUAGGCGGUCUGUCGCGUCUGCUGUGAAAUCCCGAGGCUCAACCUCGGGCUUGCAGUGGGUACGGGCAGGCUAGAGUGCGGUAGGGGAGACUGGAAUUCCUGGUGUAGCGGUGAAAUGCGCAGAUAUCAGGAGGAACACCGGUGGCGAAGGCAGAUCUCUGGGCCGUAACUGACGCUGAGGAGCGAAAGCGUGGGGAGCGAACAGG
rnacentral:rRNA from 1 species